rnacentral:rRNA from 1 species
UCAGACGAUGCGUCAUGCAUAUCAAUAAGCGGAGGAAAAGAAACUAACAAGGAUUCCCCUAGUAACGGCGAGUGAAGCGGGAAGAGCUCAAAUUUGAAAUCUUAAAGGGUUUCCCUUUACGAAUUGUAGUUUAAAGAAGUGUUUUCUGUUGAGGUUUUGGUAAAAGUUCUUUGGAAUAGGACAUCAUAGAGGGUGAGAAUCCCGUAUUUGACCUUUACUUUCAACUUUGUGAUACACUUUCAAAGAGUCGGAUUGUUUGGGAAUGCAGUCCAAAAUGGGUGGUAAAUUUCAUCUAAAGCUAAAUAUUGGCGAGAGACCGAUAGCGAACAAGUACCGUGAGGGAAAGAUGAAAAGAACUUUGAAAAGAGAGUUAAACAGUACGUGAAAUUGUCAAAAGGGAAGCGUUUGACACCAGUGUUGUUUUUCUGAAAAUCAAUUAAAGAACUGUUUAUGCUAAGUUGUUUAGACUUUAUCAGCUAACUGUUUAGUUUUGAGCUUUUCUUUAAUGCACUUUUCAGUUAACAAGUCAACAUCAAUUUCUUUUGCUGUAAAAGAGCUUGAGGAAGGUGGCUUGAGAUUCGUCUUAAGUGUUUAUAGCCUCUUGCCUAUGCAGUCGGAGAGAUUGAGGUCUGCAGCGUAGAUCCUUCGGGGCUAAAUGCAUUUGUGCUAAGUUAUAGCAUUUUAUAGACAACUUGUUGACUAUGAUUUGUCUUGUAGCUUACUCGCUUAUGUUAUUUUACCUACGCUUAGGAUGUUGAAGAUGUAGCACAUCAU